UGACGACGAUACCCGGAGGCUUUAGUUCUCACCGCAGGUGGGGCCGUUUCCUGCGUCCAUUUGUGCCAGUUUGRCCCGUGGUUUGCGGUAACAUCCUUAACACCAGCUUCCGUCCCACGUCCUGUUGGGAGGAUAGGUACCAGAAUUUGUGACACCCCGGCASAAAUGCCCUCGGCCAAAAUGCGUGGGGCGCACCUUGCGUUCCCACACCCGAUGGUGCGUGGGAUUCGGCGCUUCACACCAAAUAUCGCAUUUCGCUGACUUCUUCAUCGAUGCGAGAGCCGAUAUAUCCGUUGCCGAAACUUAUUUUAAACUUUUAAUUGGUGUGAAUCAUCCGCWCNCGUGAACCAUC
rnacentral:misc_RNA from 1 species